rnacentral:rRNA from 1 species
AGUGAACGCUGGCGGUAGGCCUAACACAUGCAAGUCGAACGGCAGCACAGUAAGAGCUUGCUCUUACGGGUGGCGAGUGGCGGAGGGGUGAGGAAUACAUCGGAAUCUACUUUUUCGGGGGGGAUAACGUAGGGAAACUUACGCUAAUACGGCAUACGACCUACGGGUGAAAGCAGGGGAUCUUCGGACCUUGCGGGAUUGAAUGAGCCGAUGUCGGAUUAGCUAGUUGGCGGGGUAAAGGCCCACCAAGGCGACGAUCCGUAGCUGGUCUGAGAGGAUGAUCAGCCACACUGGAACUGAGACACGGUCCAGACUCCUACGGGAGGCAGCAGUGGGGAAUAUUGGACAAUGGGCGCAAGCCUGAUCCAGCCAUACCGCGUGGGUGAAGAAGGCCUUCGGGUUGUAAAGCCCUUUUGUUGGGAAAGAAAAGCGGCAGGUUAAUACCCCGCUGUUCUGACGGUACCCAAAGAAUAAGCACCGGCUAACUUCGUG